rnacentral:rRNA from 1 species
UAGUCCACGCUGUAAACUAUGAUUACUCGAUGUGUGCAAUACUUCGUACGCGUCUAAGCGAAAGCAUUAAGUAAUCCACCUGGGGAGUACGAUCGCAAGGUUGAAACUCAAAGGAAUUGACGGGGGCCCGCACAAGCGGAGGAGCAUGUGGUUUAAUUCGAUGAUACGCGAGGAACCUUACCUGGGCUUGAACGUAGAGGGAAUGAUGCCGAAAGGUAUCAGUCUUCGGACUCUCUGCGAGGUGCUGCAUGGUUGUCGUCAGCUCGUGCCGUGAGGUGUCGGGUUAAGUCCCAUAACGAGCGCAACCCCUAUUCUUAGUUGCCAUCAGGUAAUGCUGGGGACUCUAAGAAAACUGCCUACGUAAGUAGUGAGGAAGGUGGGGAUGACGUCAAAUCAGCACGGCCCUUAUGUCCAGGGCUACACACGUGCUACAAUGGCCGAUACAGAGGGUCGCUACCUGGUGACAGGAUGCUAAUCUCGAAAAUCGGUCUCAGUUC